rnacentral:rRNA from 1 species
AAGUGGAGCAAUCCAUGAGUAAAGCGGCGCACGGGUGAGUAACACGUGACUAACCUACCUUCGAGUGUGGAAUAACCUGGGGAAACUCGGGCUAAUACCGCAUAACACCUACGGGUCAAAGGAGCAAUCCGCUUGAAGAGGGGGUCGCGGCAGAUUAGUUAGUUGGCGGGGUAAUGGCCCACCAAGACGAUGAUCUGUAUCCGGCCUGAGAGGGCGCACGGACACACUGGAACUGAAACACGGUCCAGACUCCUACGGGAGGCAGCAGUGGGGAAUUUUGCGCAAUGGACGAAAGUCUGACGCAGCAACGCCGCGUGAGGGACGAAGGUUUUCUGAA